rnacentral:lncRNA from 1 species
CCUAUGUAUCCAUCUAAUAGGUUUCACGUUUCUAGUAAAAGUAGUUCUACGAUAUUUUUACAUUUUCUUUUGUUUUCAUAACUUUAACCCAUCUUUGUCUAAAUAAACUGUCAUUUCCUUUAUUUCUUUUUCUCACGUUCAUUUUUUUAAAACAACAUAUUAUGAUAACAAUACAUUAUAUUUUGUAAUUUUAAUUUUAAAAAAAUUCAAAUCUCAAUAAUUUACAGUUUAAGUCAAUA